rnacentral:rRNA from 1 species
CUCAGAUCACGUAAAUUUUUAAUAGUCGAACAGACUAUUCAAAUAAAUUUCUUCACCUAUUAUACAAUUUAAUUCAACAUCGAGGUCGCAAACUUAAUUAUUAAUAAGAACUUGCUAAUUAAAUUACGCUGUUAACCCUAGAGUAACUUCAAAUAUUUUAACAUAAAAUUUUAAAAAUCAAUCUCUUCAACAAUUACCCCAAUCAAAAAUUUCAUAAAUUUUAAGCUUCUAGGGUCUUCUCGUCCCAAGGAUUAAUAAAAGCAUUUUUACUUAUAAUUUAAAUUCAAAUUCAUUUUAUAAAACCUUCCUUCUAGUCCUUACCUUUCAUUCUAGCCCCCAAUUAAAAAG